GACGAUCACGACUAUCUCCCCGAUUAAUGUCAGUGCGGGAAACCAUACUACGAAGGUCUCGUCUUGCAUGAAUGAUCACGUCACGUGUCAUACGAUUGAUUUUUUUUUUUUUUUUGAAUAUCAGGAGAUUCUGGGUCGAAGCCCGUAAUUCCCCUGGUUCGAAACCACGACAUGUAAUAUUAGUUUCGUCACAAACGUCAAUCGAAUCGGCGAUUUUUAAGUUUCGCCUACGAUCUUUACCAAUUGAUAUGUCUUUAUACAAAAUUUAGUUUCGACAAUAAUGACUAGAAAUUUUUCUCUUAAGAUUUCUUAAUCGUUAGGUGAUGAUCGCGAUUACAAAUAAAAUGCUAAUUAAU
rnacentral:sRNA from 1 species